UGGCGCGGUGAAUACGUUCCCGGACCUUGUACACACCGCCCGUCAAGCCAUGGAAGUCGGGGAGACCUGAAGCCGGUGUCAAGAGCCGGUAAGGGUAAAACCGGUAACUGGGGCU
rnacentral:rRNA from 1 species